GAUGAACGCUGGCGGCGUGCCUAAUACAUGCAAGUCGAGCGAACGGACGAGAAGCUUGCCUCUAUGCAGUUAGCGGCGGACGGGUGAGUAACACGUAGAUAACCGGCAUAUAAGACUGGGAUAACUUCGGGAACCCGGAGAUAAUACAGGAUAAUAUUUUGAAAAGCAUGGUUCUAAAGUGCAAGACGGUCCUGAUGACACUUAUAGAUGGAACCGCGCUGGAUUAGCUAGUUGGUAAGGUAACGGCUUACCAAGGCUACGAUGCGUAGCUGACCUGAGAGGGUGAUCAGCCACACUGGAACUGAGACACGGUCCAGACUCCUACGGGAGGCAGCAGUAGGGAAUCUUCCACAAUGGGCGAAAGCCUGACGGAGCAACGCCGCGUGUGUGAUGAAGGUCUUCGGAUCGUAAAACUCUGUUAUUAGGGAAGAACAUAUGUGUGAGAAACUGUUCACAUCUUGACGUUACCAAAACAGAAAGCCACGGCUAACUUCGUG
rnacentral:rRNA from 1 species